rnacentral:rRNA from 1 species
GAUGAACGCUGGCGGCGUGCCUAAUACAUGCAAGUCGAGCGAACAGAUGAGGAGCUUGCUCCUCUGACGUUAGCGGCGGACGGGUGAGUAACACGUGGAUAACCUACCUAUAAGACUGGGAUAACUUCGGGAAACCGGAGCUAAUACCGGAUAAUAUAUUGAACCGCAUGGUUCAAUAGUGAAAGACGGUUUUGCUGUCACUUAUAGAUGGAUCCGCGCCGCAUUAGCUAGUUGGUAAGGUAACGGCUUACCAAGGCAACGAUGCGUAGCCGACCUGAGAGGGGGAUCGGACACACUGGAAAUGAGACACGGUGCAGAAUCCUAAGGGAGGCAGCAGUAGGGAAUCUUCCGCAAGGGGGGAAAGCCUGACGGAGCAACGGCGAGUGAGAGAUGAAGGUAAUCGGAUCGUAAAACGAUGUUAUUAGGGAAGAACAAAUGUGUAAGUAACUAUGCACGUCGUGACGGUACCGAAUCAGAAAGCCACGGCUAACUACGU